AUGUUUUGACCGACAAUUAUAUUUAGUUUGGUCCACGAUAGGUCUACUUUAGUAUAAAAUAUGCUUCUAGUGUUUUGAAAGAUAAAAAGGACUUGAACCUAAAACAAAUUAUUAUGUAUAUUUAAUUAGAAAGCUACCAAAAACAAUGACCAGGUGUACUCGGACCUCGGCGGAAGAGGAGCGGGUCGGGCCAACCUAAAACUGAUAAGGUAGCUACAACGUCGUGGGUUUAUCAGCAUUACUUCUGAGCGCAUGUGUGAAUGUCAUGACAAGGAGUUGCUGCAUGUUGGUGCACACAAACUCAACAAGAAAUGCAACUACAUAGGCAAAAAGAGGAACUGGUAAUUAUCAAAUGCUGGGCCGACGAGUUACAACACUAAGAGAUGCAUCGAAUACAAAACCUGAACAACUGUAAUCAAAUAUCUGACAGAAAUUGCAUUACAUUGACUAGAAAAUUCAAACAAUAUUUUGUAACUACUUUAAUUCUAAUACCCUUCUCAAAAAUGCUAAACCUUCCGAUAUUAUUUAUGUUUUUUACAAAGAUUAUUAUAAAUGAGGUGUCGCAACCACUUCAUGGCGUAAAUCUACAUGUUGUCCCAUAGAAAACACCUGAUAUGGAAAUUCGGCGUUCGGUGGAGUAAUUGGCCUUUAAUGCACUGAAGAGACCGUUGGUAUGCUGGAAUUUGGUGCCAAUAUGAAAAAGUCGACUGUUAUGCAUCACUGAUUGCCUAUUACGAACGCUUGGAUUAGCUAUCACAGCUAUGGAAUUGAGGUAAACAGAUACCGAAAUUAGCAUUGAUAAUAACAUCGAUAUAUAAUGGAAUUAAUAGAGGCUAUUUGAUGAUUUCAGUGUAAGAUCGUAUUUUAUUUCAGAAGUGACAUAGAAAAACAUAUGUUCAUGAACUAUGAACCCACGAGUGAAAUAUGAAGUACACUUUUACUAUAAACUCAGCAUUAAACACACCAUUAAUUUGCAGUUUCGCCCAAAUACUUUAUGUUGUCAGUCAAUUAUAUAUGUUUUGUAUUGGUUUGUCCAUAUUUUAUACAUUUUCGUCACCUUGGCACAAAAAUUCAUGUCAAUAACAUAUAUUUAGACAUACACUUUUUUGCAUAUUUAAAUCAAAUUGAUCAUAUCCUGUGAAGGUU